CAGCUUUGAGUCCUGGCUUCAUCUCUCAUCAGCUGUGUGACCUAGGGUGGCAUGUGGAGCCUCCCACCACCACCUAGGUCCUGAGAUGCAGUGAAGCCCAGCCUGUCUGCCAUCAUCCCCCAGCAUGGACCGCGGGAGCCUCCUGCCCUUCCAGCUAUGGUGCCCCCGGCCCUUUGGCACCUACUCACAGAACCAGCCACGCCCGCCUUCUGCGGCCCUCAAGCCAUCAGCCUGCCCUGAGCCUGGUGGCGGGGCCGAGCCAGACCAUGGGCCUGCCCACUCAGAGAACACACCACCUGCCUUGGCCACUGAGGUCCCUGCCUCCCAGCCGGCUCCGCUCCUCUCAGCAGCAGCUGCUGGUGAUGAGGGUCGCGUCCUCCUGGACACGUGGUAUGUCAUCAAGCCCGGGAAUACAAAGGAGAAGGUGGCCUUCUUUGUGGCCCACCAGAGGGGUGG
rnacentral:lncRNA from 1 species